ACAGAGGUUAAAUGAUUUGCCCAAGGUCACACAGCUAAUAUGGAAACAGAACCAGCAAUGUAAAAGGAUUUUCCCAAGUUCAUGCAACUAUUUCCUAGAAGAAGGGAGUAUUUGUCCAUUACAUCACAUCUUCUCAUUAAUCCUUUGACCACAACAUCAAAAGAGGCAUACAAGCAAGGCAUAGGCUUGGCAUAAGUGUCCUAAGUGCUCACCAUCACCAUGGAAGGUAUCCUGGGCAAAGUUCAGAUGAAAGACUUUUCUGCAUCUGUGUCGUGUCCCUUUGCUACAUGUGAAGGAAUUAGAAGCUGUGAUAGAGCAAGUCUCCGGGAUUCCCAGAGUCCCAGAGUCCCAGAGUCAGAGAGUGCAGAAGUCGCAGCCAUGCCAGGUUUUACAACCAGCACAACAUUGAUGCCCAGAAGACUGAGGAGUGACUUUUGUGACCUAUCCCAGUGGUGGCUGAGAUGAGGAUAUACCUGGUAGCAAUGUCAUGUUUGGAUAUCAGUUUGGUGGGGACACUCCAAUGUAGAAACUGUGCUAAGUCUGAAUCCACUCUCCUUAGAGACCAACAUGGGAUAGGGGAGAGUGGGCUUCCCAAGGCAUUGGGGGUAGGGAGGGGAAAUAUUUGUAUUUUUGUUCUUGCUAUUUGUAGUAAAUAUCCCUUCAUAAAACUUAAUUAAUGUUAAUUUGUAAAAUAGGAGAGAUGACAGUUUCUGGAAGCUAAAAGUGUGUGUAUGUGGGUCUAUGGAGAAACACAUCUGGAAUGGGUGUCCAGAAUCAAGGACAUUAGAGAAGAGAUACUCCAAGCCCCUCAGGGGUACCUCUUGAAACUCAAGGGGUGAAUGUAACUAGUUGGACUCUGGAAGAUUGAUGUAAAUCCAGAGAAAAAGAAGGAGAAAGCUUGGCUGGAUUGAGAUAGUCAUCAGUGGAGAAAAUGACCAUACUGAUGAAAUUGCAGCUCCUUUAUAUUCAAGUUAGCCAUUUCAAAAGAAAUAUUGUUUUCUAUGGAAACUUUUUCCUUUGCAUAAGACUAAAACAAUGACAGUUUUAGUAUGAAACACAAGUUUCAAAGUCAGGAAAUAUUAUUGCUGAAAGGGAUCUUGGAAGUGUAAGACCUUGGACAAUUUGCUUAAGCUCAGUCUGUAAAAUAAGAGGGUUGGGGUAGAUAAUAUCUUAGGUCCCUUCCAACUCAAAAUCCUCUAAUUGUAUGGUGCUAUUUCUCAUCACUAAAGAGGACUUAGGGGGUGAAAAUUUCACCUUAGAAGCAGACUUACUUUUUUUUUAAGGCAAAUUUUGCCAUUUUUUUCCUAAGUAGGCACAGAGAAAGACCUGGAGCAUGUUGGGAGAAUCCCCUGUGUAGAGGUUAUGGGAGGACAUGGAGAAGAAGCACACAGAAUAAGAAGGUGUGAAUCAUCACCUUGGGAGGGAGCACUCACGUACAUGAGAUCACGUAUCCAUUAUAGUGUUGAGAACCAAAAAGCAAGCUUUCUUCUGGGGAAAGAGAACUUUCUUUUCUGAUAGUCAGAACCCCAAAUCACCACCAUGACCAAGCAAGUACCUAGAACAGAGUUUGCAACUACAAAAUUUGCUGACACAAAUUUUCAGGCUUGCUUGAUGACUUUUUCUCUCCUGGCCGCAGGGUUGAGAAGGCAGCCCCCUCCUUGUCCAAAGAUCUGGAGGAACCCCUCAGUUCAAAGGUCUGAGUGAACCCCUCAGUCAGUGUUCUUCUCAAGUCGUCAGGGCAACACCAGUGUCAUGUCCUGAUGUCUUGGAAUCUGCUUCUGUGCUGAAGCCCCAGCAAGGAUGGUUGAGCCAUGAUUAAGUUCUCUAAUCCAUGCCAGUUUGGCCUUGGAACUAUUUUCAGAAAUGAUAUUAUUCCCGUAUCAAUUUUUAAAAACUUUCCUUUCCGAGAUUCAUUUUAUUACGAAGACUCGGAGAAAAUGCUGGCAUGUCCUCUUAGGAAACAAAAAAUAUUCUGCCACCUGCAGAGCCUUCCCCCUCAAAAACAUGACUGACUGAAGUUUCUGCAAAAUGGAAAAGAUUCAGGGCAGCUUUGCGUUAGAGUUCAGGAAAAGGCUGACUGGUGGAAAGUCUCUCAAGAGCCUGAGAGCUGCUCUACUAGUUUUGAUCCAAGACGUGAUUAGUGGUUAAUGGGCCUUGAAAGACAUCUUUAUUUAUAACUGCCAGCAGAUCACUGUUGUCAUGAUAUUGAUCUUUCCCAAUUUUCUGUUUUGUCCUUUGAAAUUCCCAGAACACAGAGGUAAGUCUUUGCCUGCAGGGCAUGAGUUUUUCAAAACUCAUUUCCUUUGGAGACUAAUGUAGUGUAUAUUUCAUUAUUAUUAUUUGGUUCACCUUUCUUUUAGGCCUAAGGCUUGGAAUAAAUUAAGACAGGCAGCUUUAAAGGCGGGUGGCAGACAAGGAAGAAUUUGGGGAAAAUAAAACCACCAAAACUUAAGAAAUAUGUUCUAAGUCUCUAAGAGAUCACUAAUACCAUACUUAAUCAAUAUAUCAACUAUUGAGAAUCUGUGAUCCUCGAUCUGAUGAAGCACAAGGCCUGGGUCUGUGAUUUCAUUGUC